AUGAGGAAGCGAAAAGCACCAACAACUAGGGGGAUAAAUUCCUUUUUCACGCCAGUUGGGUCAACUUCAAGCUCCAACACUACUGGUGCCGAAAAUGUGAUUCCAUCUGAGGAGCAACCUGUUGCAGAUAACCAAACAAAUGAUAUUCCCGUUGAUAUGCAAACUGAUGAGCAACAGGUUGUGGCACCGGAAGAAGUUGCAGCAGGAGAAGGUACAAUUGAAAGCACAAAAUAUGUAAGGGACCCCGGUAUGCACCAGCAAAUUUGGGAACUCCCUCAUGAUGAGCAAGAAGAAGCACGCCUCUUCUAUAUUUUGAAGGGAGCUUAUCAACCAUACAUGAGAGAAUGUCCAUAUAAUAAACCAGGAAAAAAUCGUCGUCGAUUUCAAUACAGUUAUUUCAAUUAUUUUCCUUGGCUUGAGUAUUCGAUGGAAACACAUCGUGCGUACUGCCUACCUUGUUUUCUCUUCACAAAAAAGCCAAGUGGAAGGUGUGGCUUUGAUGCAUUCACAGUCAAGGGAUUUAAUAAUUGGAAGAAGGUGAAUGAUAAACGAAUGUGCUUUCUUAACUCACAUGGGCAAAGAUUCCAACUCCGCUCAUAA
rnacentral:rRNA from 1 species